AACUCCUUUGCUUGUACCUGCAGAAGUAGAUUGAUAAAUGUUAUGGGUUUUAUGGAGUGUCCCAACGUCUCCUUCUAGCUCUGGAUUUUUAAUGUCUUACGAUCGACAUAGCUCUGCACACUGCUGAGUUAGCUGAUUUGUAGCUAUAGACUUCAGUUUACCUUCAUUAGUCUUUAGCUUUUCUAUCUCAUUUCCCAUACUGUCGGAACAUAACAUUAUAAUCCCCUAUGGUACCACUAGCUUCCGGGGCCUGGGCGAGCAAAUUUCACUCAUCUCCCUCUUCAAAUCUCCUUAACAACAUCCCUGAUUUCCUUUUCUAAUUUGUUUCUUGAAAACAAAUGAUGUUUGUCUUCCAGUUGUGUAUUAAACUGCUAACCCUCCUCCUUUUAUCUCUAAUUUACAAUAUAUGUGUAUACUCAUUGUUCUUCUUUUUUUCCAGGUGUUGCCUCAUGGAACGAAAGCAGAUAAAAUUUCCAACAUGGACACCUUUGCUUACGCCAAUUCAGUGACACCAAACAUGCAAAAAAAAAAAACCAACAUGUGUGUGCUAGGAGAGAGUAGUGUUAGUAUUGUUGGUAGAGCUUCGUUUGUCUUUGUCUCCGAAAAACUUUUCACUUGUUCAUUAUUUUGUUAAUUGAUAAUGUGACGGAGUGUUUGCAA
rnacentral:lncRNA from 1 species